UACGCUAUUAAGUCUGUACCCUAAUCUUUUACUUUCGGUGAAGCUUGGGCUUAAGGAGAUCAAAGGUCCAUGGGUAUUCGUAAGAUGUUACAUAAAUGUGACAGCACGUAAUGUGGUUGCUAAUAUAGCCGGCGGUCACUACAGAGAAAUAAAUAAUAAAAGUAAAUGGCUACUUCUUGAUGGCUCUAAAAGUCGUGAGCCCGCACGAAAUGUGCGCGCUCCUCAGCAACUAACGUAUACUUGGAUCUUAAGCGCAGAGGAUGGCAGUAAUGAGCAAUACCUAACCUUCGAGAAUUCCAAUCCUAAGCUAAAUAUACCGUCCAAAAUUCUCAAGAGUGGUAAAAAAAACAUAAUUACACUAAAAGUAGCUAACAAACUAGUGAGCGCCCGC
rnacentral:sRNA from 1 species